rnacentral:misc_RNA from 1 species
GAUGAAGAACGUAGUGAAAUGCGAUACGUAAUGUGAAUUGCAGAAUUCAGUGAAUCAUCGAGUCUUUGAACGCACAUUGCGCCCCCUGGUAUUCCGGGGGGCAUGCCUGUCCGAGCGUCAUUGCUGCCCUCAAGCACGGCUUGGGUGUUGGGCCUCCGUCCUCCUCCCGGGGGACGGGCCCGAAAGGCAGCGGCGGCACCGCGUCCGGUCCUCGAGCGUAUGGGGCUUCGUCACCCGCUCUUGUAGGCCCGGCCGGCGCUUGCCGACACAUCAAUCUUUUUUCCAGGUUGACCUCGGAUCAGGUAGGGAUACCCGCUGAACUUAAGCAUAUCAAUAAGCGGAGGA